CGCGGCCUAUCAGCUUGUUGGUGGGGUAACGGCCCACCAAGGCGACGACGGGUAGCCGGCCUGAGAGGGCGACCGGCCACACUGGGACUGAGACACGGCCCAGACUCCUACGGGAGGCAGCAGUGGGGAAUAUUGCACAAUGGGCGAAAGCCUGAUGCAGCGACGCCGCGUGAGGGAUGACGGCCUUCGGGUUGUAAACCUCUUUCAGCAGGGAAGAAGCGAAAGUGACGGUACCUGCAGAAGAAGCGCCGGCUAACUACGUGCCAGCAGCCGCGGCAAUACGUAGGGCGCAAGCGUUGUCCGGAAUUAUUGGGCGUAAAGAGCUCGUGGGCGGCUUGUCACGUCGGAUGUGAAAGCCCGAGGCUUAACCUCGGGUCUGCAUUCGAUACGGGCUAGCUAGAGUGUGGUAGGGGAGAUCGGAAUUCCUGGUGUAGCGGUGAAAUGCGCAGAUAUCAGGAGGAACACCGGUGGCGAAGGCGGAUCUCUGGGCCAUUACUGACGCUGAGGAGCGAAAGCGUGGGGAGCGAACAGGAUUAGAUACCCUGGUAGUCCACGCCGUAAACGUUGGGAACUAGGUGUUGGCGACAUUCCACGUCGUCGGUGCCGCAGCUAACGCAUUAAGUUCCCCGCCUGGGGAGUACGG
rnacentral:rRNA from 1 species